rnacentral:tRNA from 1 species
GGUCUGAUGGUCUAGUGGUAUGAUUUUCCCUUAGGGUGGGAGAGGUCCCGGGUUCAAUCCCCGGUCAGACCC